rnacentral:rRNA from 1 species
AUUAUUUUAAGUUAUAUAUUGGGAGUAAGUAAAGUUUAUGAAAUCAAAAAAUUUUGGCGGUAUUUUAAGCUUAUUAGAGGAAUUUGCUCUAUAAUGGACACAACGCCUAAAUCUUACUUAAUUUAGUAAUUUAAAGCAGUUUGUAUACCACUAUAUUAAUUAUAUUGAAUAGUAAUAUUUAAAAAUUUUUUCAAAAAAAUAUAUUAAGUCAAGGUGCAUCAAAUAAUUAUGAAUGAGGUGAAUUACAUUAAUUUUAAUGUAAUUUUUUUGUUGAAAAAAUUUUUUUAGGAUUUAAUAGUAAAAUACUAAUAUUAUGAG